UGUACAAUAGUUUUAAUUGAGGAACAUUUUGUUAUUAAGCUGUUAUUUACUGAAAGUUUCGCCUUAUGAUACUUUUUGGUGAUCAUGUGAGGUUGGACAUCAAACUGUCUGGUGCUUAGUACUCAAAAGUUGGGAAAAGAUUUUGAUUUUGGGGUAACACUUUUAAAUGAAAAUGUUGCAUCAAUUACUCACCCUGAUGUUGUUUCGAAUUCGAAUUGUGUUCAUCUUCUGAACACAAAGAAAGAUAUUUUUGAUGAAAUCCGAGAGCUUUCUGGCCAUGCCUAGACAGCAAGGCAUAUGCAAGUGAUGCUGUUGACAUAGAACACUGCGCCUUGUUUACAUGCAAAGGAAUGCACACGCAUGGUAAUCUCGUUAAUGGCGGUGGACAGUCCCGUGAAAGAAGAAAUUGCUGAAUAAAGACAUAUUUGUUGUUGUUUUUUUGCACACCAACAAGUGUUCUCGUAAGUACAUAAAAUUAAGUUUGAACCACUGAUGUCACAUGGACUAUUUUAACAAUGUCCUCACUAUGUUUCUGUAUCUUGACAGUGGUAGUAACCUUCCUGUCUAUGGAGUGUCAAAAAAGCUCUCUGAUUUCCUCAGAAAUAUUGUAAUUUGUGUUCUGAAGAUGAACUAAGUUAUUUUGGGUUUAGAAUGAUGUAAGGGUGAGUAAUUAAUGACAGAAUUUAGAAUUUUGGGUGAACUAUCCCUUUAAGAGUAACUACACCAAGUUAUAUUUCCUAACCUAUCUGCUGUGUUUACACUUUUCAAAUGUUGAAGUCAUGAUUCUUGCAUGAAAAACACAUUCACAACGAUUUAACUAACAUUUGAAAAUGAACCAUAGAGUAGAAACGAACACUUCAAGGUGGAAUAACACAACAAACUACCUACAAGUGAUCCUUCCUGAUCUAGUGCAUGUUUGCAUGUGUCCGUCCACUUGUGUGAGAAGUGUUACGGAUAUUAAACGGAUCUUUGGUGUCCGUCUACUUCCUCAGCACGGAAGGACGGUCGUUACCGGGAUCCUCCUCCCACACCGCCCGGCUACACGGCACUGAGUAUCACAGACGUAACUGAGGGUACGGCUCACUCGGGCAGGAGACCACCAGACUACACCACCGCCUUGCAGCGCUCCCGUCUUGUCACACAUUCCCCCGACUCCCACCACCCCCCAGCUGCGGGAAAACCCACCCAUUCGCUGGACCCCCGUGGCCGAGACGAGGAGGAGCCAGAGGAGGUGGAAGAGGAGGGUGAGUGCUUGUCUCCCAAACUCAGAGCUCAAAGGAGGAGAGGUCCACACACAGCAGUUCCCCCCAGGCCAUGAGUUACAUACACCACCCCAACAGGAAGAGGAUGAACAGGUGUCUGCUGUUUGAAAAGGGGGCGACACUGGCUGCACUGCUGCAUUAACUGAUGGCCCAUAUGGGGCAUUCACGGGUCCGACAGACAGACCAUCCAGUCUACAUUUUGACGGCACUGCCUCUCUCCCUCCUCAAUGAUGAAUUCAUCUCCCUGCCCUGCCUUAAUGCAUCAUGGGGGGUUUAACGCCCUGCAUGCUAAGAAAUACUGUGAAGAAAGAAGGUGUGCAAAAAAAUAACUUAUUUGGCACUUUGGAGAAUGGAAAAAUGUACUGAACUGAAACUCGAACGAAGCGCUUUAACAUUCAUACACACACACAAACACUCACACACACACAAAACUACUGUUAACGGUUAUCUUUAAACAUUUCCUUCUGCUUAAAGGACACAUGAACGUUAGUAGUUCCCCUCAGCACUUUUUAACUGUUUUUAAGGGGUAAAAUGAUCCACACAAUCAACAUUUCAGCCACUGGAUUCUGGACAUGCAGUUUGGAUGCCACAGAAGGCUUGACUAUAACUUAACUCCACUCCUUUUCACUUCAGUCCUCACGAAAACACGCAUAUCUGUGUGGUUCAAUAUAGCAGUAUUAUAUUUGCAGGAGCACCACUUGAAGGACAUCUCUUCUGCUGGAUGACUACAAAUGGAGUUCACUUUGACUCCUGACAUACGUAGCACAGCGAUUUAAUACGGAAGGCGCUUUGUGAGAGGAAAUGAUGCUAAGUGAAGCCUUAGUGAGUGAUUUUAUUGUUUUUUUUUUAAGCUGCAGUGGGUUUGAGAGCUGUAAGAAAACAUCAAGUUUGGUCAAAGGCCUCAUAAAAAAAACAUGAAAUUACAUAAAUUUACAUCUGUUGGUAAUCGAAGAGACAAAGUCCAUAAAAGUGAAUCAGUUCUGCUGCAAGAAGCUUUUAGUGAUGAAGAGGAAGUGUACAUGCUCAUCUUUGAUAUGACGCAGGUGGUUUUAUCAGUUCAGUGCCUCUCCAGCUUCAAAAGCAUUUGUUGUGGCACAACUUCAAGCCCCCUAUUGGUUAAAGUGAGAACUGCAGGCGACUCAAGCAAAUGGGGACGUUUUAUUCGGGUGCUACUUUCUUCCUCUCAUUCUGUGAAACCAUUAAGGCGGUGUGUGAAAGAUGGUGGCUUCUGUGUUAUUUUUUCUUUACGGUGGAUCAAGUCAUGCAUGUUUCUCCUGGAGCGGGCCUUGAACUAACUACCACUGCUGCACAACAGCUUUCACAAUCAUUCACAGGAACUGAACUGAUAUGUGCUUUUACACAAACCCACCCGGAGUCCACCAGUCAGAGCAGAACUGAACCGAUGGGAGCACGUCACUUUUAUUCUUUCAUUUUAAUCACUGAGUUAAGCUGAUCACAUUGAUCAGUAUAGUUAGAAACGAUAGACUGAAGAAGAAAAAAGUUUGCAGUGUUUUCCACUGUACCCUGUAACAUCACUACUUCAAUGUUGCUUUCUCUAGUUGCUUUGUUUGUUCGUUCGUUCGUUUGUUUGUUCGUUUGUAGGUUUUUGGCUCCCACACAACUUUUUUUUUUUUUUUUUUUUUUUUUUUUUAAUGGUUGCGGAUACAGUUGUUCACGUUCACGUUCACGUUUUGGCAAGCCAAAAUGAGUCACUUGUUUUUCAAAAUAAGUUGCACAAAUUGUACAAGCAUAAAUACAACAAGGUAAAUAGUAGUAGGUAGCUGUUCUGCUACUCUGUUCGAUAUGUGAUGUUUAGUGAGACGUGUACAUUUAGCUGGUGAAUAUUAUCUCUUUUUUGACUACUUUUACCUGUACGUCUUUUACAAAGACAAUUGGUGGAGUAUGUAUUUGUUCUUUUGUUUUUUUGUUUUUUUGCCUUUCUUUUUUUUUUUUUUUUUGUAUUUUUAAUACAAUAAUUGUAAAUAUUGGUUAUAUUUUUGUUGAAUUGUAGAAAUGUAUGAUGUUUAUGCCUCAACAUCCAGUUUAUAUGAAGCUGGUAAUCAAUAAAUUCGACAAAAAUCAAUCAACUUAUAGUUUUUAAAUGCUAUUAUUAUUAUUAUUAUUAUUAUUAUUAUUAUUAUUAUUAUUAUUAUUAUUGCUCUUCUUAUGUUGAUUCUGCAUUAAGGAUUUUGUUUUCAAACAUUGUUUUAAAUGGCCUUUGUCACCAUCUAGUGUUUGCACAAGAUAAGACAUGGAAGUAACUUGAAAUGUGUAUCUCAUACUUUUCUAACUGACAAAUGUAUGUUGGGGUUAAUAAAAGACAUCCGUAUCGUAUCUGCUGUUCAACACUAUGUGCUUUUUCAGUGUUACUUCAUCGAAUUUGAUGAACCAAAGUGGAUAAACUGGGUCAUCGAUACAGUGAUUACACAUUUGUCCUUAUUGGGCAUGAUGCAAAAAAACAAAAUUCUUCCAUUUGUGAUUUCUUGUACGUCUAAAUAUGUUUAGUGACGAACACAUGCAACAGAGAUCACUCCCGGCACUUUCCGGCACUUGCGCAGACUAAGCCAGAACGUGCGCUCACGUCACACACCAGGAAGCGUGAGCGCCCUCAGAUCACUUGGAUGUGUACAAGAGGUGACCAUAGACCUGCAUUAUAUGAGUGACAGACCAGAACGAUUCGACCUAAAAAUAUAAAAAUGGAAACUACUGCAGAAACAAAGACACCUACAUCUUGGAUGCCCUUGAGAAAAUGUGACCCUGGACCACAAAACCAGUCUGUGAUGAGUGGGACUGGGCCGAGAGCUGUGGGAACUGAACGAAGGCAGGUAGAGUAGGUUGAAGAGGAGCGACACCUGCACCACUCACCGGUCUCUAGUCCCAUGGAUUACAAUGUAUUUUAUUAAAUUAAAUUAGUUAAUUUUACUCAACUAAGUUUGUUCCACUUAACAAAAAGUUAUACUGAAUGAACCCAACAAUUGCUUAAUCUUAAGCAGAACUCAAAUUCAAUGUAUUACAGCAGAUUUCUAGUUCUCAGCAUGCAUUGCUUCUGCUUCUGUAAAGAGAGUUGUUGAGAAUGUUGAAAUGUUGUUGUUUUCACACAAAUGUAAGCAUUC